AGAGUUUGAUCAUGGCUCAGAAUCAACGCUGGCGGCGUGCCUAACACAUGCAAGUCGAACGCGAAAGUCCCGCAAGGGAUGAGUAGAGUGGCAAACGGGUGAGUAACACGUGGGUGACCUGCCUUCGAGCGGGGGAUAACGUCCCGAAAGGGACGCUAAUACCGCAUAACAUCCUGCCUUUGAAGAGGCGGUGAUCAAAGCUGGGGAUCGCAAGACCUAGCACUUGAAGAGGGGCCCGCGUCCGAUUAGCUAGUUGGUGGGGUAAUGGCUCACCAAGGCAACGAUCGGUAGCCGGCCUGAGAGGGCGGACGGCCACACUGGGACUGAGACACGGCCCAGACUCCUACGGGAGGCAGCAGUGGGGAAUUGUUCGCAAUGGGCGCAAGCCUGACGACGCAACGCCGCGUGGAGGAUGAAGAUCUUCGGGUCGUAAACUCCUUUCGAUCGAGACGAAUUCCUCUGGGACGAAUAAUCCCGGAGGUUGACGGUACCGAGAGAAGAAGCCCCGGCUAACUCCGUGCCAGCAGCCGCGGUA
rnacentral:rRNA from 1 species